GAUGAACGCUGGCAGCGUGCCUAAUACAUGCAAGUCGAGCGAACAGAUAAGGAUCUUGCUCCUUUGACGUUAGCGGCGGACGGGUGAGUUACACGUGGAUAACCUACCUAUAAGACUGGGAUAACUUCGGGAAACCGGAGCUAAUACCGGAUAACAUAUUGAACCGCAUGGUUCAAUAGUGAAAGGCGGCUUUGCUGUCACUUAUAGAUGGAUCCGCGCCGUAUUAGCUAGUUGGUAAGGUAACGGCUUACCAAGGCAACGAUACGUAGCCGACCUGAGAGGGUGAUCGGCCACACUGGAACUGAGACACGGUCCAGACUCCUACGGGAGGCAGCAGUAGGGAAUCUUCCGCAAUGGGCGAAAGCCUGACGGAGCAACGCCGCGUGAGUGAUGAAGGUCUUCGGAUCGUAAAACUCUGUUAUCAGGGAAGAACAAAUGUGUAAGUAACUGUGCACAUCUUGACGGUACCUGAUCAGAAAGCCACGGCUAACUACGUG
rnacentral:rRNA from 1 species